AUAAAGUUUUAUUUUGGCUUAAAAAUUUGUUAUUAAUUUGAUUUAUAUGUAAAUUUUUGUGUGAAAAUUAAUUUAUUUUAAAAAUUAGUUAUUUUAUUUUAUUCGCAGUAAUUAAUAUUAUUAAUUAAAGAAAUUUAGAAAUAGCAAUAUUAAAGAGUAUUGGUAAAAUUGGUGCCAGCAACUGCGGUUAUACCAAUAAUACAAAUAAAUUUUUUUAGAUAAAGUUAAAUUGUUUUUAUUUAAAUAAAAUUAAGUUUAUUAAGUGAAAUUUUAAAUUUAAAAAUUUUUAUAAUAAUAAAUAUUGAAACUAAAAAAUUUUUUGUAAAAACUAGGAUUAGAUACCCUAUUAUUAAAAAUGUAAAAUUAGUAUCUGGAGUAGUAAUUGUUAUGUUCUUGAAACUUAAAAAAUUUGGCGGUAUUUUAGUCUAUCCAGAGGAACCUGUUUUGUAAUCGAUAAUCCACGAUGGACCUUACUUAAAUUUGUUAUUCAAUUUAUAUACCGUCGUUAUCAGAAUAUUUUAUAAGAAUAAUAAUAUUCAAUAAUUUUUAAUAGAAUUUAUAUCAGAUCAAGGUGUAGUUUAUAUUUAAGUAAUAAUGGGUUACAAUAAAUUUAUUUAUAUGGAUAAAAUUAUGAAAAGAUUUUUGAAAGUGGAUUUGGUAGUAAAAUUAUAAAGAUAAAUAAUUUGAUUUUAGCUCUAAAAUAUGUACACAUCGCCCGUCGCUCUUAUUAUUAAGGUAAGAUAAGUCGUAACAUAGUAGGUGUACUGGAAAGUGUACCUAGAAUGAC
rnacentral:ncRNA from 1 species